rnacentral:rRNA from 1 species
CACUCCCCCGAAAAUCUGGCUUACCUCAACGCUGGAGGAGUGCUUAACACAUGCAAGUCGAACGGUGACCUCGAGAUUUUGCUCUCGAGUGAUCAGUGGCGAACGGGUGAGUAACACGUGAGUAACCUACCCCUGACUCUGGAAUAACAAUUGGAAACAGUUGCUAAUACCGGAUACGACACGAGCGGGCAUCCGCAUCGUGUGGAAAGUUUUUCGGUCUGGGAUGGACUCGCGGCCUAUCAGCUUGUUGGUGAGGUAACGGCUCACCAAGGCGACUACUGGUAGCCGGCCUGAGAGGGCGACCGGCCACACUGGGACUGAGACACGGCCCAGACUCCUACGGGAGGCAGCAGUGGGGAAUAUUGCACAAUGGGCGAAAGCCUGAUGCAGCGACGCCGCGUGAGGGAUGACGGCCUUCGGGCUGUAAACCUCUUUCAGUAGGGAAGAAGCGAAAGUGACGGUACCUACAGAAGAAGCACCGGCUAACUACGUGCCAGCAGCCGCGGUAAUACGUAGGGUGCGAGCGUUGUCCGGAAUUAUUGGGCGUAAAGAGCUUGUAGGCGGUCUGUCGCGUCUGCCGUGAAAAUCCGGGGCUCAACCCCGGACUUGCGGUGGGUACGGGCAGACUAGAGUGUGGUAGGGGAGACUGGGAUUUCCUGGUGUAGCGGUGAAAUGC